AUUGAACGCUGGCGGCAGGCUUAACACAUGCAAGUCGAGCGGUAACAGAGAGAAGCUUGCUUCUCUGCUGACGAGCGGCGGACGGGUGAGUAAUGCCUAGGAAUCUGCCUAGUAGUGGGGGAUAACUUGCCGAAAGGUAAGCUAAUACCGCAUACGUCCUACGGGAGAAAGGAGGGGACCUUCGGGCCUUUCGCUAUUAGAUGAGCCUAGGUCGGAUUAGUUAGUUGGUGAGGUAAUGGCUCACCAAGACCGCGAUCCGUAACUGGUCUGAGAGGAUGAUCAGUCACACUGGAACUGAGACACGGUCCAGACUCCUACGGGAGGCAGCAGUGGGGAAGAUUGGACAAUGGGGGGGAACCCUGAUCCAGCCAUGCCGCGUGUGUGAAGAAGGUCUUAGGAUUGUAAAGCACUUUAAGUUGGGAGGAAGAGCAGUUAACUAAUAUUUGACUGUUUUGACGUUACCGACAGAAUAAGCACCGGCUAACUUCGUG
rnacentral:rRNA from 1 species